AUAGAGCUAAAAUUAACCAUCUAAGCACUAAGACUUUACAGUUAAAACUUAAAAGACAUGGCGACGGUAUUUACUCAGGGGAACUUACCAGGUAAAUGAUAACCCACAAGGAACCGUGCUAAUUUUUAAAGUAUGUAUACCGCCGUCAUGAGCCUACCUUAGGUAGGCUCAUCAAGUUUAACUUAACUAAAGGACAGGUCAUGGUGCAGCCAAUAAAUUAGUCUCAGGCGAGUUACAUUAUUAUUUUUUUUCGUUACUUUUUUUAUAAAGAAAGAAAAAGCCGGACUUGAAAGUAACAAAGAAAAGAAAUACUUUUUGAAUAAACUUUUUACCGUGC
rnacentral:rRNA from 1 species